GACGAACGCUGGCGGCGUGCCUAACACAUGCAAGUCGAACGGUGAACGAGGGAGCUUGCUCGCUCCGGAUCAGAGGCGAACGGGUGAGUAACACGGGAGCAAGCUGCCCCGAAGUCUGGGAUAAGCGUUGGAAACGACGUCUAAUAACGGAUAAGACGAGGGAGGGGAUUAUCGCCGCGUGGAAAGAACUUCGGUUCGGGAUGGGCUCGCGGCGAAGCAGCUUGGUGGUGAGGGAACGGCUCAGCAAGGCGACGACGGGUAGCCGGCCUGAGAGGGUGACCUGCCCCACUGGGACUGGGACACGACCCAGCCUCCUACGGGAGGCAGCGGUGGGGAAUAUUGCACACUGGGCGCAAGCCUGAUGCAGCAACGCCGCGUGAGGGACGACGGCCUUCGGGUUGUAAACCUCUUUUCGCAGGGAAGAAGCGAAAGUGACGGUACCUGCAGAAAAAGCACCGGCUAACUACGUG
rnacentral:rRNA from 1 species